rnacentral:rRNA from 1 species
AGUGAACGCUGGCGGUAGGCCUAGCACAUGCAAGUCGAACGGCAGCACAGUAAGAGCUUGCUCUUACGGGUGGCGAGUGGCGGACGGGUGAGGAAUACAUCGGAAUCUACUUUUUCGUGGGGGAUAACGUAGGGAAACUUACGCUAAUACCGCAAACGACCUACGGGUGAAAGCAGGGGAUCUUCGGACCUUGCGCGAUUGAAUGAGCCGAUGUCGGAUUAGCUAGUUGGCGGGGUAAAGGCCCACCAAGGCGACGAUCCGUAGCUGGUCUGAGAGGAUGAUCAGCCACACUGGAACUGAGACACGGUCCAGACUCCUACGGGAGGCAGCAGUGGGGAAUAUUGGACAAUGGGCGCAAGCCUGAUCCAGCCAUACCGCGUGGGUGAAGAAGGCCUUCGGGUUGUAAAGCCCUUUUGUUGGGAAAGAAAAGCAGCAGGUUAAUACCCCGCUGUUCUGACGGUACCCAAAGAAUAAGCACCGGCUAACUUCGUG